rnacentral:rRNA from 1 species
GACGUACGCUGGCGGCGUGCUUAACACAUGCCAGUCGAACGGAAAGGCCCUGCUUUUGUGGGGUGCUCGAGUGGCGAACGGGUGAGUAACACGUGAGUAACCUGCCCUUGACUUUGGGAUAACUUCAGGAAACUGGGGCUAAUACCGGAUAGGAGCUCCUGCUGCAUGGUGGGGGUUGGAAAGUUUCGGCGGUUGGGGAUGGACUCGCGGCUUAUCAGCUUGUUGGUGGGGUAGUGGCUUACCAAGGCUUUGACGGGUAGCCGGGCUGAGAGGGUGACCGGGCCAGUAGGGAGCGGGAAAGGGGGCCAACGCCCGAGGGGGGGCAGGAGGGGGGAAAUUGGCAAAAGGGGGGGAAGCGUGAGGGAGAAAGGCCGGGGGGGGGAGGAGGGCUUUCGGGUUGUAAACCGGUUUGCCUUGUGAGGAAGGGGGGGGGGGGGGAAUGGGUAAAAAAGCCCCGGUUAAUAACGG